GGCAGGACUUCCGGCCUCUACCUAUGGGACAUCCUUCCACGAGCGGAUGCUGGUUGUGCAGCGACCGCGUGGACUGAAACGCCGUUGUGGGGGCUCCAUUUAGCCCACUGUCCCGUUGCGGUAGCAGGUGCGGCAGCACUGAUGAAUCCGGCGCAGGGCUGCGUGACCUUCGAGGACGUGUUCGUGUACUUCUCCCGGGAGGAGUGGGAGCUCCUUGAAGAAGCUCAGAGACUUCUGUACCGCGACGUGAUGCUGGAGAACUUUGCGCUUGUGUCAUCGCUGGGACUUGCGGUUUCCAGGUCUCCCGGAGCUUCUGAGCUGGAGCCCGAGGGGAGCUCAGGGUACCUGAGAAGAUAGACACACAGCUCCAGUCACAGCAAAGCAGAAGGAGGAGGCCUGGCCCUGGUGAGCGGAAGGCUGUGUGCACGGCGUGGACCAUGUGGCUGCACCUUCCGAACUGGGAGUUGCUGGAAGAGCGUCACAGAUAAGAACUCUCAAGACAGGUCCUUCUGCCCGUGAGCCUCACCCCCGAGACAUGCGCAGCCCAGUCUUGAAAGACAUUUUUGCCCCUGGCUGAGCAACGUGGAGCACUAUCUGGGCGACACCCGUACUCCAGCAAGUGAGUCAUUUUGGGGAGACUUCUGUGCACUUGAAACCGUGACCAGAUGCAGAAGCAGCAGAGUGGAUCCUGCAGAAGGGACAGUCCAGGCCUCGUGUGUGAUGAGCUGCAUAUCCUGUAUAUCAGUGAAAGCCUUCGCUGGCAGGGAAGGUAGAGAAGCCACACUGGAGUAUCGGGAGGUGCUCUUCUGCCGGUGUCACUAAGAGGCCCCUUUGGAUGUUGGAUUCCUCAGAGGCGAGGAACGCGCAACCUGAGGCUGUAAAGCCUUGUGCUUCUCCGCUGCCCUGGUGGGAGGGCACGUCUCCAUGGUCAGUUGACUGAGGCACCAGGUUGGGGAACCAUUAGCGAUGCAGGGGUUGCUCAUGAACCCAGGGCUGCUUUCCCCCAAGGAGACUCUCGGCAGGACGAUGAGCUCUGAACCCAGGGCCAUGGGGCCGAUGAUAACCUGCGCUCCGGAGUUUGACGACAGUGAUUCUUCAGGAGAUGCUUUUCAUGAAAAGAGCUCACGCAGACCAGCUAGAGCUUCCAUGAGCUACACAGAAGCAUCUCUGCAAGUGGAAGAAAUGCGGGAAAGGGCUUAACAAACAUCACCGUGUUGUUGGACCUCAGUGGAUCGUGCCGGAGUGAGGCUGUUUUCCACCCCUGGCAAACAUACUUUGCUCUCAGAGCGAUCCGGUGACCUUCCUGUGACAGCUGCUUUUCCCGCAUCCCAUGAGGAUCCUCGCCGGAGAGGACCACUGAGGGCAGUGAAUGUGGCAAAGCCUCCAUUCACCCCUUUUGGUCAGGCCUGAAAGCAUCCACAUGGAGAAAAUCCCUCUGAGUACGAGACUAGCAGAGAGGAGUUGCCCUCAUGGCUCAGCGGCAAUGAGCUGGACUAGGAUCCAUGACAUGGGUUCAAUCCCUGGCCUCACUCUGUGGGUUAGGAUCUGGCGUGGCUGUGAGCUGUGGUGUAGGUCACAGACACGGCUCUUGUCCCUCUCUGCUGUGGCUAUGGCUGUGGCGUAGGCAGGCAGCUGUAGCUCCGAUGUGGCCCCUGGCCUGGUAGCUUCCACAGGCCGCAAAUGUGGGCCUAAAAAUAGGAGAGACCGCUUCGUGACAGCUCUUCCCUAACUCGGCACAUGAAGCGUUGCACUUGGGAGAAACCGUGUGAACAUAGCGAAUGCAGACGGUCCUUCGGCCUCUGUGCAUCCCUCCCUCAGCCUCAGCGUGUUCAACGUGGGGAGAAACCGUGAGUGGAGGGAUUGGGGGAGAGCCUUUUGCAAGUGGACUUACCUCAGUCAACAUGCGAGAACUCGUACUGGGGAAAGACUUUUUGAAUGUAACUCCUGGGGAACAUGUUCUGAUAGGACGAGACGUCUUGUCCAGCGUCUGAGAAAUUAUACCAAAGAGAGACCCUGUGAACGUCCUGGCUGUGAGACCAUCUCAGGCAGAUCAUCGUGUGUUGUCAUCUAGAGUUGUAUUGGAAAUGGACUUUGCUAGAAGAAUGUAUCAAGGACAGAGAACCAGUGGCUAUUGUGCAAUUUCAAAAAAAAAUUUUCAGCUCUAGCUCUACGCUUAGUAAAUACUAAAAAAGCGACCAUAGGACUAUUUUCUUUUCAUUGUUUCGGCCACACCGUAGCAUGUGGAAGUUCCCAGGCCAGUGAUCGAACCCACUCUGCAGUCGCGACCUUUGCCACAGCUGGAGCAACGCUGGACUCUUAACCCCCUGCCCCACGCGGGAACUUCCCACAGAAAUACUUAAAAAACAGAAACAAAGGAGGAAGAAGAGAAGAGAGGUACCAGGAAAAGAAACAUAUUCACGGCUUCUUUGGGGUUUCCCUGACAAUUACGGGUUGUUUUUGUUGUUGGGUGGCAGGGGCGGAAGAGUGCUUGAGAAGGAACACCUGAGUUCAUACACGCUCUGCCCUGCUGUGCCAGGUGAGCUGUACGCUUGAAGCAGCUCUGCAAACGUUUACUGAAUCCUGUGUUGGAAAACAUUGUCUCAGCUAUUCAGGAGCCUCAGUCUGUGUGCGAAAUGUCAAGUCCCGAUUUAUGAAACACUGGAAUUAGGAUGCCGAAAAUACUGUUGUCUAAAGUUAUAUCUAAAGAGAGAAGGACACACCUAUGAAUGAGUACUUUGGGGGCGCGGGGUGGGGGGGGCGCGCCCACGGUAUACAGAAACUCCCAGGCCAGGGGUCCAACCCCACACCACAGCAGUGAUCCAAACCGCUGCAGUGACAAUGCCAGAUCCUGAACCCACUGUACCCCGAGGAAACCCCAUGAAUGGGUACAAUUGACUGUACCACUUAAAAACCAUUUUCGGAGUUACCGUCGUGGCGCAGCGGAAAUGAAUCCAACUAGGAACCGUGAGGUUGCGGGUUCCAUCCCUGGCCUCGCUCAGUGGGUUAAGCAUCUGGCGUUGCCAUGAGCUGAGGUGUAGGUCGCAGACGCAGAUCAGAUCUGGUGGUUCUGUGGCUCUGGCGUAGGCUGGCAACUACAGCUCUGAUUAGACUUCUAGCCUGGGAACCUCCAUAUGUGUGGCCCUAAAAAGACAAAAACAAAACACCGUUUUUAAGGCUUCAUUUUUAUUUAUUUAUUCAUUGAUUCCUUCUUGAGAUAAUUAACGUGCAACUGUGUUAAUUUAAGAUGUACCACAUCAUUAUUUAGUGCAUUUAUGUGGCAGUAUGAUUGCUAUUGUAGCUUGAGCCUCUUGUGCCACAGAGUUGUCAUUUCUUGUGGUGGGGACAAAUAAGAUCUCGUGUCUUGGCAAGGUUAAUGUUUAUAAUGCAGUCUCGUUGUCUGUAAUCCCUGUCCUUUGUAUUAGAUCUCCAGGAAUUACUUGUCUCCGAGUCACAAGUGUGUACCCUGAAGCAAUAUCUCUCCCAUCCUCGCACCCCACCCUCAGCCUCUGGUAACCAUCAUUCCACUCUGUUUUCUCCAGUUCAGUGUUUGGUUUUGUUUUUUAGAUUCCACGCAUGAGGAUAUUAUACAAUAUUGGUCUUUCUCUGACUUACCUCACUUAGCAGAAUGUCCUCGAGAUCCAUCCGUGUUGUCACAAAUGGCAGGAUUUCCUUUUUUCUCAAGGCUGAGUAGUAUUGCAUUGUAUGUAUAAAUAGAUUUUUAUCCAUUCAUCUGUUGAUGGAUGGUUUCCAUUUCUUGGCUAUUAUGAAC
rnacentral:lncRNA from 1 species